UACGUAGGGUGCGAGCGUUGUUCGGAUUUACUGGGCGUAAAGGGUGCGUAGGCGGAUUGUUAAGUCAGGGGUGAAAUCCCGAGGCUCAACCUCGGAACUGCCUUUGAUACUGGCGAUCUUGAGUCCGGGAGAGGUGAGUGGAACUGCGAGUGUAGAGGUGAAAUUCGUAGAUAUUCGCAAGAACACCGGUGGCGAAGGCGGCUCACUGGCCCGGAACUGACGCUGAGGCACGAAAGCGUGGGGAGCAAACAGG
rnacentral:rRNA from 1 species